AUAAAUGGCAAUAUUUAAAUGCAUACAAACACUUUUCUUAAUUUUAAAUACAUGUACCGUUAGACUGGUCUUGUGGUUCACAGAUAUAUCAAAGUUUUGAUGAGUUUUUGCUGUUUACUGUUAAUUGAUAGCAUUGGUUGUGGUGGUGGGGGUGUCUCAUUUAGACCUUUGCUAGUCAGAGGAACACAUCAAAACGGGAUUCAAAAUGUGUGAAAUGUAAAUUAUGUGAGAUGGAACAAUAAAAUAUGGUUAGGACUACAAAUAUGUUAAAUAAUCUUUAAUUAUUUAUUACCAGUACAUUAAUAUUUUAUUUCUAUUGAUAGAUAAGGAGAUGGGAUAAAUAAUAGACUUGAAAAUUGUAACCAAAAAUUGUCUGUGUAAACGAGUACAUGUACUAAAAAUUGUCUAAUAUAAUUUUGUUUUCCUUAGUUACAGUCUACUUAAAGUUCAUAUUUUAGUAAUGAAAAGAAAUAUGUGCAUCAAUAAAAUUAAUUAAUUUGGAACAUGAGACUAAAAUUAUUCAAGUUUAUUUAAAUCUUUAUUUCUGUCUUUCAUCCUUUUUAUGCUUCCACGGUGGGGAUUGUAAUGAGUUUUACAAUAGAUCAAGACAUGUGUAUUCAAUGUAAAAUAUGUCUUAGUGUUCAUAGCCCUGUAUCAUGAAAGGUAUGGAAGUUUGUUAAACAGAGCUAAGCCAAAUUAAUACAGCAAUUAAAACAUAUUUUUGUCAACAAUUAAACUUACUUGUGUAUCUUAUUGUCAAAUAUAUGUUUAAAUAUCAAGCUUUUGAUACUUCAAUAUUACAUCAUGUAUUAGAUUCAUGCAUUCAUGUAAUCAUGUAAAAUGUACUUGUGAAUUUUGUUUGACCAUAUAGAAACAGCUGAUUUGUUACCUUGUUAAAAGUCUGUGUUAAAGUAUGUAAAUUUGUGCAGAUAAUUGGAAUUAAAUUUCUUGCCACAAUAU
rnacentral:sRNA from 1 species